CUUGCAAGCUACGCUAAGGUGAAGAUUGAGCCUCAGCUUGAGCUUGAAGUCAACUUGUUGAAAGGAUUACUACUUCAAGCUGCGCAGUGUUUGUUGGCGGAGGCGGAGCGGCGUCGCUUGUCGGUGGUGGCCGGCGGUGGCGGGUGCGGGUGCGGGCGGAAGAGGCGCUCGAGCUCGUCGAGGCGGAGGCUGAUGAGAGGGACGGAGGAGGGGUCUGCAGCAGGCUGAUCCCCCUGGAAGAGGCGCUUCCUGCACGGCGGCUUCCUGGGCGCCGGAGGGCACGUGGUGGGCUCCCUGAGGUAGGAGAUCCUGCUGCCCGUCGGCGUCCUGCAAUCGUAGUCGUAGUCGUCGCCGAACACGAGCGGCGGGAGCGCGGCGCAGGCCGGCGAGAAGGCCGGCGCGCCGGCGGGCUUGAAGAACUCGGGCGAGGCGGACAUGGUGGCCGGCUUGUUGUUACCUUGUUGGCAGCGAGGUGGUGGUGGUGCAGGUGAGCCUGAGGCAAGGAGCAGAGCAGAGCGAGUGGUAGCAGCCACGUCACACGAGCGAGCGAGGUGGACUGGUGGUGGUGGUGGUGGUGG
rnacentral:lncRNA from 1 species